rnacentral:lncRNA from 1 species
UUAGAAAUGCAUGAAUAAACCAUUUGCUUGUGUUUAUGUGAUUAGGAAGGAAGCAUGAACAUGUUGAACCUACUACCAAGCUUUGAAUGUGAAUAUUGUCAAGAUACCUUGAGGUUUAGAAUUUGAUAAUUGUGAUCGUGUUUGAUGAUACUCUUAGACUCACUCAUGUAGCAUAAACGUAUAUACACCAUGAUUGUAUAUCAUAUUUCAAGUAAAGCAUAAACGAAGCAUAU